rnacentral:rRNA from 1 species
CCUACGGGUGGCAGCAGUGAGGAAUAUUGGUCAAUGGACGCAAGUCUGAACCAGCCAUGCCGCGUGCAGGAAGACGGCUCUAUGAGUUGUAAACUGCUUUUGUACAAGGGUAAACGCAGAUACGUGUGUCUGUCUGAAAGUAUUGUACGAAUAAGGAUCGGCUAACUCCGUGCCAGCAGCCGCGGUAAUACGGAGGAUCCAAGCGUUAUCCGGAUUUAUUGGGUUUAAAGGGUGCGUAGGCGGGUUGAUAAGUUAGAGGUGAAAUGCCGCGGCUCAACUUUGGAAUUGCAUUUGAUACUGGUAGUCUAGAGAGUAGGUGAGGUAGGCGGAAUGUAUGGUGUAGCGGUGAAAUGCUUAGAGAUCAUACAGAACACCGAUUGCGAAGGCAGCUUACCAAGCUACCUCUGACGUUGAGGCACGAAAGUGUGGGGAGCAAACAGGAUUAGAUACCCGGGUAGUC